GAGAGCGGCGCACGGGUGCGGAACACGUGUGCAACCUGCCUUUAUCUGGGGGAUAGCCUUUCGAAAGGAAGAUUAAUACCCCAUAAUAUAUUGAGUGGCAUCACUUGAUAUUGAAAACUCCGGUGGAUAGAGAUGGGCACGCGCAAGAUUAGAUAGUUGGUGAGGUAACGGCUCACCAAGUCAAUGAUCUUUAGGGGGCCUGAGAGGGUGAUCCCCCACACUGGUACUGAGACACGGACCAGACUCCUACGGGAGGCAGCAGUGAGGAAUAUUGGACAAUGGGUGAGAGCCUGAUCCAGCCAUCCCGCGUGAAGGACGACUGCCCUAUGGGUUGUAAACUUCUUUUAUACUGGGAUAAACCUACCCUUCGUGAGGGUAGCUGAAGGUACAGUAUGAAUAAGCACCGGCUAACUCCGUGCCAGCAGCCGCGGUAAUACGGAGGGUGCAAGCGUUAUCCGGAUUUAUUGGGUUUAAAGGGUCCGUAGGCGGACUCGUAAGUCAGUGGUGAAAUCUCAUAGCUUAACUAUGAAACUGCCAUUGAUACUGCGGGUCUUGAGUAAAGUAGAAGUGGCUGGAAUAAGUAGUGUAGCGGUGAAAUGCAUAGAUAUUACUUAGAACACCAAUUGCGAAGGCAGGUCACUAUGUUUUAACUGACGCUGAUGGACGAAAGCGUGGGGAGCGAACAGGAUUAGAUACCCUGGUAGUCCACGCCGUAAACGAUGCUAACUCGUUUUUGGGUUUUCGGAUUCAGAGACUAAGCGAAAGUGAUAAGUUAGCCACCUGGGGAGUACGUUCGCAAGAAUGAAACUCAAAGGAAUUGACGGGGGCCCGCACAAGCGGUGGAUUAUGUGGUUUAAUUCGAUGAUACGCGAGGAACCUUACCAAGGCUUAAAUGGGAAUUGACAGGUUUAGAAAUAGAUCCUUCUUCGGACAAUUUUCAAGGUGCUGCAUGGUUGUCGUCAGCUCGUGCCGUGAGGUGUUAGGUUAAGUCCUGCAACGAGCGCAACCCCUGUCACUAGUUGCCAUCAUUCAGUUGGGGACUCUAGUGAGACUGCCUACGCAAGUAGAGAGGAAGGUGGGGAUGACGUCAAAUCAUCACGGCCCUUACGCCUUGGGCCACACACGUAAUACAAUGGCCGGUACAGAGGGCAGCUACUAUGCGAAUAGAUGCGAAUCUCGAAAGCCGGUCUCAGUUCGGAUUGGAGUCUG
rnacentral:rRNA from 1 species